GAUGAACGCUGGCGGCGUGCCUAAUACAUUCAAGUCGAGCGAACAGAUAAGGAGCUUGCUCCUUUGACGUUAGCGGCGGACGGGUGAGUAACACGUGGGUAACCUACCUAUAAGACUGGGAUAACUUCGGGAAACCGGAGCUAAUACCGGAUAACAUUUGGAACCGCAUGGUUCUAAAGUGAAAGAUGGUUUUGCUAUCACUUAUAGAUGGACCCGCGCCGUAUUAGCUAGUUGGUAAGGUAACGGCUUACCAAGGCAACGAUACGUAGCCGACCUGAGAGGGUGAUCGGCCACACUGGAACUGAGACACGGUCCAGACUCCUACGGGAGGCAGCAGUAGGGAAUCUUCCGCAAUGGGCGAAAGCCUGACGGAGCAACGCCGCGUGAGUGAUGAAGGGUUUCGGCUCGUAAAACUCUGUUAUUAGGGAAGAACAAACGUGUAAGUAACUGUGCACGUCUUGACGGUACCUAAUCAGAAAGCCACGGCUAACUACGUG
rnacentral:rRNA from 1 species